rnacentral:rRNA from 1 species
GUGGCGAACGGGUGAGUAAUGUAUCGGAACGUAUCCAAUAAUGGGGGAUAACUAGUCGAAAGAUUAGCUAAUACCGCAUACGCCCUACGGGGGAAAGCAGGGGAUCUUCGGACCUUGCGUUAAUGGAGCGGCCGAUAUCUGAUUAGCUAGUUGGUGAGGUAAAGGCUCACCAAGGCGACGAUCAGUAGCUGGUCUGAGAGGACGACCAGCCACACUGGAACUGAGACACGGUCCAGACUCCUACGGGAGGCAGCAGUGGGGAAUUUUGGACAAUGGGCGCAAGCCUGAUCCAGCCAUUCCGCGUGAGUGAAGAAGGCCUUCGGGUUGUAAAGCUCUUUCGCAAGGGAAGAAAACUUACUUUCUAAUAAAGAGUGAGGCUGACGGUAUCUUGAUAAGAAGCACCGGCUAACUACGUGCCAGCAGCCGCGGUAAUACGUAGGGUGCGAGCGUUAAUCGGAAUUACUGGGCGUAAAGCGUGCGCAGGCUGUUUUGUAAGUCAGAUGUGAAAUCCCUGAGCUCAACUUAGGAACUGCGUUUGAAACUACAAGACUAGAAUAUGUCAGAGGGGGGUAGAAUUCCACGUGUAGCAGUGAAAUGCGUAGAGAUGUGGAGGAAUACCAAUGGCGAAGGCAGCCCCCUGGGAUAAUAUUGACGCUCAUGCACAAAAGCGUGGGGAGCAAACAGGAUUAGAUACCCUGGUAGUCCACGCCCUAAACGAUGUCUACUAGUUGUUGGUGGAGUAAAAUCCAUGAGUAACGCAACUAACGCGUGAAGUAGACCGCCUGGGG